rnacentral:rRNA from 1 species
CCUACGGGAUGCAGCAGUGGGGAAUAUUGCACAAUGGGGGAAACCCUGAUGCAGCGACGCCGCGUGAGUGAAGAAGUAAUUCGUUACGUAAAGCUCUAUCAGCAGGGAAGAAAAUGACGGUACCUGAGUAAGAAGCCCCGGCUAACUACGUGCCAGCAGCAGCGGUAAUACGGAGGGGGCAAGCGUUAUCCGGAUUUACUGGGUGUAAAGGGUGCGUAGACGGUGCGCCAAGUCUGGAGUGAAAUGCCGCAGCUUAACUGCGGAACUGCUUUGGAAACUGGCGAACUAGAGGGCAGGAGGGGUAGGCGGAAUGCCUGGUGUAGCGGUGAAAUGCGUAGAGAUUAGGAAGAACACCGAUGGCGAAGGCGGCUUACUGGACCGUAACUGACGUUGAGGCUCGAAAGCGUGGGGAGCAAACAGGAUUAGAUACCCUAGUAGUC